rnacentral:rRNA from 1 species
AAUGAACGCUAGCGGCAGGCUUAAUACAUGCAAGUCGAGGGACAGCACAGGUAGCAAUACUGGGUGGUAACCGGCAAACGGGUGCGGAACACGUACACAACCUUCCUUUAAGUGGGGGAUAGCCCAGAGAAAUUUGGAUUAAUACCCCGUAAUAUAGUUGAAUGGCAUCAUUUGAUUAUUAUAGCUACGGCGCUUAAUGAUGGGUGUGCGGCUGAUUAGAUAGUUGGCGGGGUAACGGCCCACCAGGUCUACGAUCAGUAGCUGAUGUGAGAGCAUGAUCAGCCACACGGGCACUGAGACACGGGCCCGACUCCUACGGGAGGCAGCAGUAAGGAAUAUUGGUCAAUGGACGCAAGUCUGAACCAGCCAUGCCGCGUGAAGGAUUAAGGUCCUCUGGAUUGUAAACUUCUUUUAUUUGGGACGAAAAAGGGCCUUUCUAGGUCAACUGACGGUACCAGAUGAAUAAGCACCGGCUAACUCCGUGCCAGCAGCCGCCGCAGUAA